CGUGGGUCCCUUUCUUGUGCAUG
rnacentral:miRNA from 1 species